AGAGGAUGUUUCGGGCGCGGCGCCGGUCUAAGUCUCUUGGAACGGGGCGUCAUAGAGGGUGAGAAUCCCGUAUGUGACCGGUGACCAAGCCCAUGUGAAACUCCUUCGACGAGUCGAGUUGUUUGGGAAUGCAGCUCAAAAUGGGUGGUAAAUUUCAUCUAAAGCUAAAUACUGGCCAGAGACCGAUAGCGCACAAGUAGAGUGAUCGAAAGAUGAAAAGCACUUUGGAAAGAGAGUCAAAAAGUACGUGAAAUUGUUGAAAGGGAAGCGCUUGCAACCAGACCUGCCCGCGGGCGAUCAGCCGCCCUUCUGGGCGGUGUACUCGCCCGUGAUCAGGCCAGCAUCGGUUCGGGCGGCCGGAUAAAGGCCUCGGGAAUGUAGCUCCUUUCGGGGAGUGUUAUAGCCCUUGGUGCAAUGCGGCCAGCCUGGACCGAGGACCGCGCUUCGGCUAGGAUGCUGGCGUAAUGGUUGUAAGCGGCCCGUCUUGAAACACGGACCAAGGAGUCUAACAUCUAUGCGAGUGUUUGGGUGUCAAACCCAUACGCGUAAUGAAAGUGAACGGAGGUGGGAACCCGUUAGGGCGCACCAUCGACCGAUCCAGAUGUCUUCGGAUGGAUUUGAGUACGAGCAUAGCUGUUGGGACCCGAAAGAUGGUGAACUAUGCCUGAAUAGGGUGAAGCCAGAGGAAACUCUGGUGGAGGCUCGCAGCGGUUCUGACGUGCAAAUCGAUCGUCAAAUUUGGGUAUAGGGGCGAAAGACUAAUCGAACCAUCUAGU
rnacentral:rRNA from 1 species